UUUCGGUGUAACCUCAGCGGUGCAUUUCGUUUUGCACACAGAGAGAAGCCGUUCACCAGCUAGCAGCUGUCACCAUGGCGUCAACUGAGAUAGCAAGGCAAGCGGGUGAAGGUGCUCGUGCUGUCCCUCUUUCAGGCCAUGUCGGCUUUGACAGCAUGCCUGACCAGCUGGUUAACAAGUCUGUCAACCAUGGGUUCUGUUUUAACAUCCUCUGUGUGGGUGAGACGGGUAUGGGGAAGUCCACCCUCAUGGACACUUUGUUCAACACCAAGUUUGAGGGUGAGCCCACCCAGCACAACCAGCCGGGAGUCACGCUCAAGUCCAACACUUAUGAACUGCAGGAGAGUAAUGUGCGCCUCAAACUCACAGUCGUCAACACCGUGGGCUUUGGAGACCAGAUCAAUAAAGAAGACAGCUACAAGUCCAUUGUGGAGUUUAUUGAUGCCCAGUUUGAAGCAUAUCUACAGGAGGAACUGAAAAUCAAACGCACGCUACACAGCUACCACGAUACCCGUAUCCAUGCAUGCCUGUACUUCAUUGCUCCCACGGGACACUCCCUCAAAUCCCUGGACUUGGUGACCAUGAAGAAACUUGAUAGUAAGGUUAACAUUAUCCCUAUCAUUGCCAAGUCAGAUGCCAUCUCCAAGAGCGAACUGGCCAAGUUCAAAAUCAAAAUCACCAGUGAGCUAGUCAGCAACGGGGUGCAGAUCUACCAGUUCCCCACUGAUGACGAGUCUGUGGCAGAGAUCAACUCCAGCAUGAAUAGCCAUUUGCCAUUUGCUGUGGUGGGGAGCACGGAGGAAGUGAAGCUUGGGAACAAGAUGGUGAAGGCCCGGCAGUACCCCUGGGGGACAGUGCAGGUGGAAAACGAGAAUCAUUGUGACUUUGUCAAACUGCGAGAAAUGCUAAUCAGAGUGAACAUGGAAGACCUGCGAGAGCAGACUCACACACGCCAUUAUGAGCUCUACCGCCGCUGCAAACUGGAGGAGAUGGGCUUUAAGGACACAGACCCUGACAGCAAGCCCUUCAGUCUGCAGGAGACAUAUGAAGCUAAGAGGAACGAGUUCAUGGGUGAGCUGCAGAAGAAAGAAGAAGAAAUGAGACAAAUGUUUGUCCAAAGAGUUAAAGAGAAGGAGGCUGAGCUCAAAGAAGCAGAGAAAGAGCUGCAUGAGAAGUUUGACCGUUUGAAGAAGCUCCACCAGGACGAGAAAAAGAAACUAGAGGAGAAGAAGAAGAGCCUGGAUGACGAGCUCAACAUGUUCAAACAGAAAAAGACUGCUGCAGAGCUCUUGCAGAACCAAGCUCAGCAAGCAGGGGGCUCCUCCACGCUCAAGAGGGACAAAGAGAGGAAAAACUGAUGCGACUCCGUGCCUGUUAGAAAAGGAAGAAGACACUUGUGCUGAGAAGUUAACUCCUCCCACACUUGCUGCAUGCUGCAUGAGGCACCUUUUCUGCUUAGGAUCCCUGUAGAAAAAGUGCUCCUUUGUGGCCAUCCUGCUGUGAAUGAGUUUCUACCCCAUCAUCCUUUACAGUAUACCCUCCUCACCCUCACCCAACCCCCAUAAUCCAACCCUCCACCUGCCUCCCUCGCUCUGUGGAAGAUGCUGGGCAUUGCUAUCAGUCUGAUGUCACUUUUUUUUUAUUUAUUUUUUUGCUGAAUGUUGCUUGUCUGUUACAUUGUUUGUAGAAGCAGUUGUUCAGCUUAUCUUUUUAUACUUGCAUAUAUACAAAAAUGCAUUCAGUAUGAGCUUUUUUUAAAUAAUUCUGUGAUUCUUUGCAUGAUGAAGUGAGCUUUUUUUAAUAUUAACAUACAUGACUGCAGUUGUGAUGGGUAAGAAUGUACAGAGGCAAAAGGAAAACAUGCAUUCACUAUUGGGACCUGAGUAUGUAUGUAUGUAUGUGGUCAAAGACCUACAGGCAGUGAGAGGAUGGAGAAAAUGUAUUCUUCAGAUUAAAGUGCAGCAAUCAUCUUAGUGAUUCUCAGUCCCACUCCACUCCACAGCUGCUUGUUAAUGGAUGUUCUCGAUACUUGUUAGUAAUUAAUCACUGAGUUGGGGGUUGGGCUAGUUUGUGAUUAACUAUAAUUAAGUUAUUCCUCAUUCUUGACUAAUUUGGUGACACCAGCAGAAAGAAAUACAAUAGAAGGUAUCUUUUUCAUGCAGCCAAACAAAUUGUUUUAACGUUUACAGCAGGUGUUGAGCACAAACCGAUUUCAUGCUGAACACAGCAUUUAGUCAUUGCUCCUGCAAUAUUUAAAACUGAUUUGAUAAAGAUAGUAAAAUGACAUGUCAUCUUUUGUAGAUGGUUUUUAAUUACUUACUGUGAUGAUGAAUACAUUGAGCUUCUCAUGACAGCUUCACAGUACAACCACCCCAUGUUUCAAUAAUUCCAACACUUUUAAAGUGAAGAAGCAGCAGUAGGCUAUUACAGAUAGCUUAGCACAACACUGAUUUAUGUUAAGAGUAAAAAAAACAAUACAAACAAAACAAUACUGAUAUGAGAGGGAGCAGUAAACGGUGAAGCUGAUAUUACUCAGAUAACAUUACAAAUGGUAAUGCUGGAUUAUAUGCACACCUCACGUCCGGUGAGUCUGGUGUGUGUAAAGGCAUUUGAAUCUAGGUUGACAAUGGCAGACCCUGCUACCAAUGUAGAAAACUACAUUCAGAGAAGUAAUUAUCAAAUGUAAAUCCACUGAAUGCUAAUAGCUUAAAAAAA